UACGUAGGGGGCAAGCGUUGUCCGGAUUUAUUGGGCGUAAAGAGCGUGUAGGCGGCUGGGUAGGUCCGUUGUGAAAACUCGAGCUCAACCUCGAGACGCCGAUGGAAACCCUCCAGCUAGAGUCCGGAAGAGGAGAGUGGAAUUCCUGGUGUAGCGGUGAAAUGCGCAGAUAUCAGGAAGAACACCCGUGGCUAAGGCGGCUCUCUAGUACGGUACUGACGCUGAGACGCGAAAGCGUGGGGGAGCGAACAGG
rnacentral:rRNA from 1 species